AUUGAACGCUGGCGGCAGGCCUAACACAUGCAAGUCGAGCGGCAGCGGAAAGUAGCUUGCUACUUUGCCGGCGAGCGGCGGACGGGUGAGUAAUGUCUGGGAAACUGCCUGAUGGAGGGGGAUAACUACUGGAAACGGUAGCUAAUACCGCAUAACGUCGCAAGACCAAAGAGGGGGACCUUCGGGCCUCUUGCCAUCAGAUGUGCCCAGAUGGGAUUGGCUAGUAGGUGGGGUAACGGCUCACCUAGGCGACGAUCCCUAGCUGGUCUGAGAGGAUGACCCGCCACACUGGAACUGAGACACGGUCCAGACACCUACGGGAGGCAGCAGUGGGGAAUAUUGCACAAUGGGCGCAAGCCUGAUGCAGCCAUGCCGCGUGUAUGAAGAAGGCCUUAGGGUUGUAAAGUACUUUCAGCGGGGAGGAAGGUGUUGAGGUUAAUAACCUCAGCAAUUGACGUUACCCGCAGAAGAAGCACCGGCUAACUCCGUGCCAGCCGCCGCAGUAA
rnacentral:rRNA from 1 species